UCAGUGUUACACAACGAAAUGUUACAUGAUCUGCUUCGAACUGAGUAUUUUGACCUGUGAUGGCCAUUCUUCACGAUGUCGAGAGUAGGACGUGUUUUAUCUAGUUUGUCACACUAUCGUGAGAUUGUGAUUUAUGUUAACAUGACGAAGCAGAGAUUAAACCAUGCACGGACCCUCUCCCUUACCUCCCAGAGGCUGGCUAAGUCAACAGCAGAUGAGGAUGGUGAGGAGCUCAGUCAUCCCAUCAAGUUCAGUACCAGCAAAGCCAGUCACAAGACUUGGGAUGUAGACCAGUCCCUUGGAAGCAAGUAUCAGCGGCCAUGGUGGAAAGUCCUCCCCAUCAGUCUCUUUGGGGUGAGCUUCUUGCUGUGGUGUGCACUGAGGGGUGAGACAGACUUUGAUGGACAGCUUGAGAAGAAUCUAUGAACAUUUACCUGGCUUACUUGAAGAACAAAGCAAAUCUAGCUAAUAUUGUGCAACUGAAAGUCUAAUUUCAGGUUAUUUUAGCUAGAUUAGGCAAUGUCUGGAAUACACAAUUUGUGUAUGCUUCCAUGUCGAUGAGCAGUGAGCCUGAGGUAUUAAUGCUCUGGCCAUCCACCUGUAAGGAUUUAAGGAGCAAAAUGCAAUUAUCAUACAAAAUGUUUACUAUCCAAGAUUUAGACUUUAUGAACCUCACUCAACAUUGUCAAUCGUGUGAGGGAAAGGUAACACUAACCAUGCUUCCGUCCAACCUUCAGGCAAGUAGUCAUAAACAUAUGGUGAAACCAAGUUGUGUACAAUAUGAAUUAGAUGUAAUUUUGCAGAAGAUGUAGUCUUUGGCUGUGUAUUUGUAGCCUGUUGGUUUUAAAAUGUUAAUGCAGAGCCUUGUACUUAACAUACUGCCUCACUUUAAAUCAACAAACACCAAUCCUGGGCAUAGUUAAUUUUGCCUCAGCCAUGGCUAAGAAAGUUAUAGCUCAGCCUAGAGUUUGCAUAAAUUAGGGUCAUAAACAAUGUAGUCCAAGUGAGGUAGUGGAAAUUUUAUUUACAACAAAUGGCCAUAAUGUGAUAUGCAUACUACAUUAAGAUGACCUAAAAGUAUUACCAUUUAAAAAAAAAAAAAGUUUCAAAACCUGAGAGAAAAGAGUAGGAAUGUUUUUGCAUGAAACUUGCUACUAAUGUACUAUAAAUACCAAGCUUUUAUUUUACUAAUGAGACCAUACAAAAAUGACUACAUACACUGAACAAAGAUUGUCCCAAGUUCAAGCUGAAAUUAAAAAAAAUAAAGAUUUUACACACAAAUCUUAAA